UGGGGAAUUUUGGCCAAUGGGCGCAAGCCUGAUCCAGCAAUGCCGCGUGCAGGAUGAAGGCCUUCGGGUUGUAAACUGCUUUUGUACGGAACGAAACGGCUCUUUCUAAUAAAGAGGGCUAAUGACGGUACCGUAAGAAUAAGCACCGGCUAACUACGUGCCAGCAGCCGCGGUAAUACGUAGGGUGCGAGCGUUAAUCGGAAUUACUGGGCGUAAAGCGUGCGCAGGCGGUUAUAUAAGACAGAUGUGAAAUCCCCGGGCUCAACCUGGGACCUGCAUUUGUGACUGUAUAGCUAGAGUACGGUAGAGGGGGAUGGAAUUCCGCGUGUAGCAGUGAAAUGCGUAGAUAUGCGGAGGAACACCGAUGGCGAAGGCAAUCCCCUGGACCUGUACUGACGCUCAUGCACGAAAGCGUGGGGAGCAAACAGGAUUAGAUACCCUGGUAGUCCACGCCCUAAACGAUGUCAACUGGUUGUUGGGUCUUCACUGACUCAGUAACGAAGCUAACGCGUGAAGUUGACCGCCUGGGGAGUACGGCCGCAAGGUUGAAACUCAAAUGAAUUUUGACGG
rnacentral:rRNA from 1 species